rnacentral:rRNA from 1 species
GAUGAACGCUGGCGGCAUGCCUAACACAUGCAAGUCGAUCGGUAAGGCUCUUCGGAGUACACGAGAGGCGGACGGCUGAGUAACGCGUAGGAACACACCCUGCAGUGAGGGAUAAGACACCGAAAGGUGUUCUAAUACCGCAUACGGUCUUCGGAUUAAAGCAUUUAUGCGCUGAAGGAGUGGCCUGCGUCAUAUUAGAUAGUUGGUGAGGUAAUGGCUCACCAAGUCGAUGAUGUGUAGCUGGUCUGAGAGGAUGAUCAGCCAGACUGGAACUGAGGCACGGUCCAGACUCCUACGGGAGGCAGCAGUGAGGAAUAUUUCACAAUGAGCGAAAGCUUGAUGGAGCAAUGCCGCGUGCAGGAUGAAGGCCCUCGGGUUGUAAACUGCUUUUAUAAGAGAAGAUUAUGACGGUAACUUAUGAAUAAGGGACGGCUAACUACGUG